ACAGAUCGUUCAGAGUUUGUAUCCUGGCUCAGGAUGAACGCUAGCGGCAGGCCUAAUACAUGCAAGUCUAGGGGGCGAGCAAUGUCACCGGCGCACGGGUGCGUAACACGUAUGCAACCUACCUUCUACAGGGGUACAGCCUUCCGAAAGGGAGAUUAAUACCGCAUGACACUAUGAGUUUGCAUAGACUUAUAUUUAAAGAUUUAUCGGUAGAAGAUGGGCAUGCGUCUGAUUAGCUAGUUGGUGAGGUAAUGGCUCACCAAGGCGAUGAUCAGUAGGGGAUCUGAGAGGAUUAUCCCCCACACUGGCACUGAGAUACGGGCCAG
rnacentral:rRNA from 1 species